rnacentral:ncRNA from 1 species
GAGAGCACAGUACGAUGAAAGUUGUAAGAUGUGUUCAGGGGGGAGUUAUUGUCUAUCGUUGGCCUCUAUGGUAGAACCCGUUGGGGAGGCCUGAGAUGCGGUGGUUUACCCUGU